rnacentral:rRNA from 1 species
UACGUAGGGUGCGAGCGUUAAUCGGAAUUACUGGGCGUAAAGCGUGCGCAGGCGGUUUCGCAAGUCAGAUGUGAAAGCCCCGGGCUCAACCUGGGAACUGCAUUUGAAACUACGGAGCUAGAGUGUGUCAGAGGGGGGUAGAAUUCCACGUGUAGCAGUGAAAUGCGUAGAGAUGUGGAGGAAUACCAAUGGCGAAGGCAGCCCCCUGGGAUAACACUGACGCUAAUGCACGAAAGCGUGGGGAGCAAACAGG